CAAUAGCGUAUAUUUAAGUUGUUGCAGUUAAAAAACUCGUCGUUGGAUUUCUGUUGAGGUCGAACAGUGCCGUCCUAUGGGUGCGCAACUGGCUCGGCUUCGGCAUCUUCUUGGAGAGCGCAUCUGCACUUAACUGUGUGGAUCGUACUUCAAGUCAGUUACUUUGAGGAAUUGUGAGUGUUUCAAGCAGGCUUACGCCGUUGAAUCCGUUAGCAUGGAAUAAUAGGAUAGGACCUCGGUUCUAUUUUGUUGGUUUUGAGAGCUGGGGCAGCGAUUGAUAGGGACGGAUGGGGGCGUCCGAACUUUACUGUCAGAGGUGAAAUUCUUAGAUCGGUCAAAGGCGAACUACUGCGAACGCAUUCGCCAAGAAUGUUUUCUUUA
rnacentral:rRNA from 1 species